AGGGAAUCACUAUAUGUUCUAUUUCAGAAGUGAAGAAGAGUAAUGUUAAGUAAAGUCUUUGUUAGAAUUCACUUCUUGAUUCUCUUGUAGAUUUUUUUUGUUUUUGUUUUUUUUUUAACCAUGCAUCUUGUAGAUUGUUAUUCAUUAUUUUUCACUCAAAUGCAGUAUAGACAUAAUCAAUAAUAUAGUAAAACCACCGGUAAAAUUAGAGAGAAUACCUUUGUGUACCUAUUUAACAUUAGAUUCU
rnacentral:lncRNA from 1 species